UUUUCUUGUUGAGAAUGCAAAGCUAAUUCAAAACUUUGUAGAACUCAGAAUAGCCAAGACAGUCUUUACGAGGUAAAAGAAAAGAGUUGGAAGAGUUUCACUAACACAUUAGUACUUUACUAUACAGUUACAGUAAUCAAGACAUUGUGAUAAUGAAACACAAACAAACAGACCAAUGUAAUAAAAUAGCAUCCAGAAAAACACCUGCACAUCUUCAUACUGCCACCUGAUUUAAAACAAAAUGCCACUUCAAUACAGUGGGAGAAAAGCUGGUCUUUUAAAUAAAUUAUGUUCGAGCAAUUAAAUAUGUGCAAAAAAUGAAUUUUGAUACCUAUCUCACAUUAUACACAGAGAUUAUUUUGUACAGAAUGUAGAUCUACAUGUCAAAAGUAAAACAAUGACUAUUCUAAAAGAAAUCCAAGAAGAAUAUCUUCAUGGGUUUUGGGUAGGCAAUUGUUUAUUUGGAGGACACUGUACUAACCAUAAAGGAAAAGAUUGGUAAAUUGUAGUACAUUAAAAUUGAGAACUAUUGUUCAUCAAAAGAUAUCACUCAAAUGUCAGAAAAUUCAGGUGACAGAGUGGAAGACUAUACUUAAAUGUAUAUAACUGAUAAAGCAUUCAUACUUAAAAAAUAUAUAUAUAAAUAUUCUACAUAUCAAUUAGAAGAAAAAAGUAAUCCAAUUUAAAAAAAAUGAGCAAAAAUGUUAAGUGCUCACAAAAGAAUAGCUCCAAAUGGCCAAUAAAUAUUUAAAAGGUGCUCAACUUUGAUCAUCAAAUGCCAUAGGUGUAGUAAGUGUUUUAAAAAGUGAGUAACCUUGUACAAUAAGUGUUUUAAAAGGUGAUCCACCUUAAGCGGCAAUACUUGUUUUAAAAGGUGAGCAACUUUAAAAGGUGCUUAGCUUUGGUCAUCAGUAAAAUACAAAUUUAAACAACAAUGUAAUUUUUUACACACCUGAUAAGAUGGCUAACAUAGAAAAUUACAGCAAUACAAAGGUAAUUGAAGAUGUGGAGCCAUUGGAAUUUCAUAUGGUGUUAGUGGAAGUGUAAAUUAUUGCAACCACUUUUGAAAACUGGCAAUACCUACUAAAGCUGAACAUGCAUAUUUCCUACAACUCUAUGACCUAUGCAUCUAAAACCUAGUAUAAGACUAUUUCAUAGCAUCACUGUUGGUAAUAGUCCACAUUAAAAACACCUCAAUUCCCAUCAACCAUAGAUAAAAGUAUGGCAUACACAUACAAUGGAGUACUAUAUAGCAUUAAACUAACAUAAAAAUUUCAAAUCUCACACAGAAAAGGAAGUUCAAAGCAGUUACUUUUAAAUGUUAAAGUCUUGAGUCCAAUGUUGAAUUUUAUUUUUGGUGAAAAGUUGGAUUUGACAUACUCUUAUAACCUAAAAUCAUCAAGCACUUUCUAUUGUCAUAUAUGUUAUACAUUGGGGAUAGUGUAAAGGGGAAUAAUUUUGGAGAAAAAUGCUCAAUACCUAUUUCUGAUAAAUGUUUUGUUUAAGUGUUAUACACAAGUCCAUGGAGAAAAUCAUGUUUCAUAAUAAAAUUAUCUUCUUCUUGUUAACAAAAGUUUAUUAGAUACAUGUUACUGAAUGUAAAUGGGCUAAAUGCCACAAUUAAAAGGCACAGAGUAGCAAGCUGGAUAAAAAACCAAUACCCAAUUGUAUGCUGUCUUCCAAAGACCCAUCUCACAUGCAAUGACACCUAUAGGCUUAAAAUAAAGAGAUGAAGGAAAAUCUCCAAACAAAUGGAGAACAGAAAAAAACAGGGGUCACAAUCCUAAUUUCAGAAAAAACAGGCUUUAAGCCAACGGAGAUCAAAAAGGAUACAAAAGGGCAUUACGUAAUGGUAAAGGGUUCAAUUCAACUGGAAGAUCUAACUAUCCUAAAUAUAUGUGCACCCAACAUAGGAACAUCCAGAUUCAUAAAGCAAUUUCUUAGAGACCUUCAAAGAGACUUAGACUCCCACACAAUACUAGUGGGAGACUUCAACACCCCACUGACUAGACAGAUCAUCAAGGCAGAAAAUUAAGAAAGACAUUCAGGACCUUAACUCAGCACUGGAUCAAAUGGACCUGAUAGACACCUAUAAAACUCUCCACUCCAAAACAACAGAAUAUACAUUCUUCAUUCAUCAAUAUACAUUCAUCACCACAUGGCACAUACUCUAAAACUGACCACACAACCAGACAUAGAACAAUCCUCAGCAAAUAAAAAAGAACUAAUAUACCAACCAUUCUUUUGGACCACAGUGCAAUAAUAUUAGAAAUCAAGACUAAGAAAAUUGCUCAAAACGAUACAAUUACAUGGAAAUUAAAAACCUGCUCCUGAAUGACUUUUGGAUAAAUAAUGAAAUUAAGGCAGAAAUUAAGAAGUUCCCUGAAACUAAUGAGAACAAAGAUAAAACAUACCAGAAUCUCUGGGACACAGCUAAGACAGUGGUAAGAGGGAAAUUUGUAGCACUAAAUGCCCACACCUGAAAGUUAGAAAGAUCUCAAUUUAACAACCUAACAUCACAAAUAAAAGAACUAGAGAACCAACAGCAAACCAAUCCCAAAGUUAGCAGGAGAAAAGAAAUAACCAAAAUCAGAGCUGAACUGAAGGAGAUUAAGAUGUGAAAAACCAUUCAAAAGAUCAAUAAAUUCAGGAGUUGGUGUUUGAAUAAGAUAAUAAAAUAGGCCACUAGCUAGACUAAUAAAAAAGAAAAGAGUUAAAAUCCAAAUAAACACAAUUAGAAAUGACAAAGGGUAUAUUAUCACUGACCACACAGAAAUAUAACUGUCAGAGACUACUAUUUUCCAAAAAUGUAAAAUGUAUAGCAUUUGUAUAACAGCUCAAAAGUGUAAGGCAAGUUAAAUUCUGUUUCAGCUGUUUAAAAUUGCAUAUUAAGUUGCUUUACUGUGAUUCCAAGCACCUUGACAUGAGAAAUGGUACUAUGACUUUCGUAUAUUUCUACACACUUGUAGUGAGCCUUAAGCCUAGUUUGAGAGAUAUGCUUUAAAAUAGCCAAUAAGAUUACAACUUAGUCAAAUAAGUUGUGAAGACUUUAUCUCUUACAUGCUUCUUAUUUAUAGAUUUUUUGUGCUAUUAUUUAACAAAUAGAUUAUGAACUAGAUGCUGAAAAGGAAGUUAUGCAAUUUCUGUUCAAUCUGUUUUUUAAAAAAACUGUCUAGCAAUUAAAUGAUCUGAGUGAAUUGGAGUUUAUGAUUCUAAUUUUACUUUUCUGUGUUGUCUCCUGAUUUUUUUGAGAAGCCAACUGAACGGUUUGAUAGUAGUUUAUAUUAUUGUGUAGGUAGUAUAUUCUAGGAGAUGUUUAGAAAUUUAAAACUCAUUAUAUCUAGUUUAAUUCCUAAUAUCUCCACGAAAUAGCUAAUGGGAUUUGAAUAAUGGCCUGUAUAAAUCAUACAUUUAUGCUUUAAUUAUUGCAUUACUUUAAUUCAUUCAUUUGUUCUUUUAGCCAUUAUAUAUUAUUUUCCCAUUAUGUGUCUAGCAUGGCUGUAGAUACUGAGAUUGCAGUGGUGAAUAAGCCAAUCAAGGCAUUGACUCUCCCCAGUUUCCAGCCUGGUAGAGGGCAAAAAUAUCAAGUAAAUGAGUAAAUGAAAACAUUUACUUCAGACUGUUUACUACUGUUCGAUUCUAUUUUUCCUUUGAUUUUCUCUUCUCAGUCAUAAGUGGAAAUGGAAGGGAUUCAUUCAAAGGUAAAAUUCUGAGAUUUUGGAGGAAGAAGUUGGCCCAUAGAAGAAUCAUCCAGUUAGAACCCCAAGAUCAUUAUUUGGGGCAUCUAAUUAUUAAUGUGGGAUGCUUUAUAAAGUGUGUAUGGGGGUCUUGAAAGAUAAAGCCUGUGCCUCUCUCAGUGAAUUCUUAAAUUUUCCCUUCCUUCUGCAUUUUGAAUUUGAACCAAGAAAAUGGAACAACAUUGUAUGUUUCCAGUGAAGAUAAAAACAUCUGUUGAAUAUCUUGAGUCUAGAAAAUAACAUUGAAAAUAUAGUGGUUGAGGACCAAUUCCUCAUCCUGAAGUUUACAAUGUAAUGAAAAAAAGGAAAUGUAUAAUUUUAAUAAAAAUGCAUGCAUUGAAAUGUGGUGAGUAUGAACAUGUGCAGAUAAAAUUUAAAAUAAUAUUUAUGAGAAUGUACUAGUUUAUUGUAAUAAAGAAUGACUCAAUACAUGCCUACUAACUGUAGGCUCAGAGGAUAUUAGACUAAAUGAAAUUAGUCUACUGAUGUUUUCAUUGUUGAAUUUGUGAGCAUUCUACUAUUCCUUGAACAGGGUAGUUAAGCUCCAGCCAUAGAUUAUUUUCCCUGGCUCCUCCCUCUACCUAGAACACUCUUCUAACCAUGAUUCCCAGGGCUUAAGUACCUCACCUCCUUCAAGCCGUUGCACAAUUGUCAUUUUUUCUUUGAGUGCUAUUCUGACCAAUUAAUUUAAAAUCACAGUCUGCCCUUCCAGCCCUCCCAGAACCUCUUAGCUUGCUCUUUCUCUUCAGUUUGUUAUGUUUUUUCUUUAUUUUGUGUCUCCUGAUGCUGGACUACAAAAGAGCAAGGAUUUUCU
rnacentral:lncRNA from 10 species